rnacentral:misc_RNA from 1 species
GCAAACUUGGUCAUUUAGAGGAAGUAAAAGUCGUAACAAGGUUUCCGUAGGUGAACCUGCGGAAGGAUCAUUACAGAAUAAAACCUGGCUUUGACUGUUUUGCUGGCUCUUCCGGGAGCAUGUGCACGUCUUGGUCAUUUUUUAAUCUUACCACCUGUGAACACUUUGUAGAUCUUUUCUGGGGGAUUGGGUUCGCAAGAGCCCCUUCUACUUGGGAAGUCUAUGUCUUUUAUAUCUUUACUCCAAUAGAAUGUAAACGAACGAACUUAUGGCUUCGGCCUAUAAAACUUGUACAACUUUCAGCAACGGAUCUCUUGGCUCUCGCAUCGAUGAAGAACGCAGC